rnacentral:rRNA from 1 species
CCUACGGGUGGCAGCAGUGGGGGAUAUUGCACAAUGGGGGGAACCCUGAUGCAGCGACGCCGCGUGGGUGAAGGAGUGCUUCGGCAUGUAAAGCCCUAUCGGCAGGGAAGAAGCAAGACGGUACCUGACUAAGAAGCCCCGCCUAACUACGUGCCAGCAGCCGCGGUAAUACGUAGGGGGCGAACGUUAUCCGGAUUCACUGGGUGUAAAGGGUGCGUAGACGGCCAUGCAAGCCAGGGGUGAAAGCCCGGGGCCCAACCCCGGGACUGCCCUUGGAACUGUGCGGCUAGAGUGCGGGAGGGGCAGGCGGAAUUCCUGGUGUAGCGGUGAAAUGCGUAGAUAUCAGGAGGAACACCGGCGGCGAAGGCGGCCUGCUGGACCGCGACUGACGUUGAGGCUCGAAAGCGUGGGGAGCGAACAGGAUUAGAUACCCCUGUAGUC